GCUCAGGAUGAACGCUGGCGGCGUGCUUAACACAUGCAAGUCGAACGAAGCACCUUAUUCUGAUUUCUUCGGAAUGAAAAAUUUGGUGACUGAGUGGCGGACGGGUGAGUAACGCGUGGGUAACCUGCCUCAUACAGGGGGAUAACAGUUAGAAAUGACUGCUAAUACCGCAUAAGACCACAGCACCGCAUGGUGCAGGGGUAAAAACUCCGGUGGUAUGAGAUGGACCCGCGUCUGAUUAGGUAGUUGGUGGGGUAACGGCCUACCAAGCCGAC
rnacentral:rRNA from 1 species